GCCGACGUAGCUCAGUUGGUAGAGCGCCACCCUUGUAAUGUGGAUGUCGCCGGUUCAACUCCGGCCGUCGGCUCCA
rnacentral:tRNA from 1 species